GCUGGGCGCGGUGGCUCACACCUGUAAUCCCAGCACCUUGGGAGGCUGAGGCGGGUGGAUCACCUGAGGUCAGGAGUUCGACAGCAGCCUGACCAACAUGGUGAAACCCUGUCUCUA
ensembl:misc_RNA Metazoa_SRP Metazoan signal recognition particle RNA